UACCAGCACCCCGAGUGGUCGGGACGUUUAUUGGGCCUAAAGCAUCCGUAGCCGGUUCUACAAGUCUUCCGUUAAAUCCACCUGCUUAACAGAUGGGCUGCGGAAGAUACUAUGGAGCUAGGAGGCGGGAGAGGCAAGCGGUACUCGAUGGGUAGGGGUAAAAUCCGUUGAUCCAUUGAAGACCACCAGUGGCGAAGGCGGCUUGCCAGAACGCGCUCGAUGGUGAGGGAUGAAAGCUGGGGGAGCAAACCGG
rnacentral:rRNA from 1 species